CCCUUAGAUGUUCUGGGCCACACGCGCGUUACACUGAUGAAGCCAGCGAGUAUAUCGCCUUCACCGGAAGGUGCGGGUAAUCUUGUGAAACUUCAUCGUGCUGGGGAUAGACCAUUGCAAUUAUUGGUCUUGAACGAGGAAUUCCUAGUAAGCAUGAGUCAUCAACUCGUGCUGAUUACGUCCCUGCCCUUUGUACACACCGCCCGUCGCUACUACCGAUUGAAUGGUUUAGUGAGAUCUCGGGAUUGGAGACGUUGCGCCGCAAGGCACACCGUCCUCGAGAACUUGAUCAAACUUGAUCAUUUAGAGGAAGUAAAAGUCGUAACA
rnacentral:rRNA from 1 species